UACGAAGGGGACUAGCGUUGUUCGGAAUUACUGGGCGUAAAGCGCACGUAGGCGGAUUUGUAAGUCAGGGGUGAAAUCCCGGGGCUCAACCUCGGAACUGCCUUUGAUACUGCAAAUCUCGAGUCCGAUAGAGGUGGGUGGAAUUCCGAGUGUAGAGGUGAAAUUCGUAGAUAUUCGGAGGAACACCAGUGGCGAAGGCGGCUCACUGGCUCGGUACUGACGCUGAGGUGCGAAAGCGUGGGGAGCAAACAGG
rnacentral:rRNA from 1 species